AUAUUUUUGAGUGGCAUCUCUUGCAUAUCAACGGUGAGCCAGUACAGGAUGGACACGCGUCUGAUUAGCUAGUUGGUAAGGUAACGGCUGACCCAGGCGACGAUCAGUAGCCGACCUGGGAGGGUGAUCGGCUACAUUGGAACUGCGACACGGUCCAACCUCCUACGGGAGGCAGCAGUGGGGAAUAUUACACACUGGGCGAAAGCCUGAUUCAGCAACACCGCGUUAGUGAUGAUGGCCGACGGGUCGUAAAAAUCUGUCCUCACGGAGGAUAAUGACGGUACCUGAGGCGGAAGCACCGGCUAACGCCGUGUCAGCAUCCGCGGUACUGCGUCAGGGGCUGGACUUAUCCGGAUUUCCUGGGCGUCAGCGGUGCGUGGGCGGGCUAUCAAGUCAGGCGUGCACGCGUCAGGCGCCACCGUGCGGAGCCCUGGAAA
rnacentral:rRNA from 1 species